rnacentral:lncRNA from 1 species
GGGCUGUUGUGAUUUAUUUAUAGUACAUGUAGAAAAUCCUUUUAUUUUUUUCAUUAAAAUAGUAGAUAAUGGCAACAGUUCUAUAUAUGAUAGGCACCCGUAUCUCAUAGUCUAGAUGGCACAAGGAUUAAUCCAAUUUUCUCAUACAGUGGAGCUUCUGAUCAUUGGAACAGAUUUCUUGUUCAAGCACCUUCAAGACAGUCACAGAAACAU